rnacentral:rRNA from 1 species
AGCGAACGCUGGCGGCAGGCCUAACACAUGCAAGUCGAACGAACCUUUCGGGGUUAGUGGCGGACGGGUGAGUAACACGUGGGAACGUGCCUUUAGGUUCGGAAUAACUCAGGGAAACUUGUGCUAAUACCGAAUGUGCCCUUCGGGGGAAAGAUUAAUCGCCUUUAGAGCGGCCCGCGUCUGAUUAGCUAGUUGGUUGAGGUAAUGGCUCACCAAGGCGACGAUCAGUAGCUGGUCUGAGAGGAUGAUCAGCCACAUUGGGACUGAGACACGGCCCAAACUCAUACGGGAGGCAGCAGUGGGGAAUCUUGCGCAAUGGGCGAAAGCCUGACGCAGCCAUGCCGCGUGAAUGAUGAAGGUCGUAGGAUUGUAAAAUUCUUUCACCGGCGACGAUAAAGCCGGGACCCGGAGAAGAAGCCCCGGCUAACUUCGUG